CGCCUCUUGACUAAAAAUAAGAGGUCCAGCCUGCCCAGUGACAAAUGUUCAACGGCCGCGGUAUCCUAACCGUGCGAAGGUAGCGUAAUCACUUGUUCUUUAAAUGGGGACUAGUAUGAACGGCAUCACGAGGGUUAUGCUGUCUCCUUUUUCUAAUCAGUGAAACUAAUCUCCCCGUGAAGAAGCGGGGAUUAAUCUAUAAGACGAGAAGACCCUAUGGAGCUUUAAACUUCUCUUCAAGUGCUAAACUAUUUUAUCCGGUCUCAGACCCCCUUCACACUAAACCCCUGGCACUAUGAAGAUGACUUUUAGGUUGGGGUGACCGCGGAGCACAAAAAAACCUCCACGCUGAACAGGCCUCAAAACCUUGAGAUUAGGGCUACAACCCAACUCACUAAAAAAUUAACACUUAUUGACCCAAUAACAAUUGAUCAACGAACCAAGUUACCCUAGGGAUAACAGCGCAAUCCACUUCAAGAGUCCCUAUCGACAAGUGGGUUUACGACCUCGAUGUUGGAUCAGGGUAUCCCAGUGGUGCAGCCGCUACUAAUGGUUCGUUUGUUCAACGAUUAAAACCCUACGUGAUCUGAGU
rnacentral:rRNA from 1 species